GCCAUGAUCAGAAUGUUUGGUGGAGGAGGGAGGGUGAUAAAGGAAAUGAAGGGAGGAAAAGCAUUUUCCUAAGCCCACUGCAAAAACUGGAACCAGAGGAGACGGAGAAUGUUAACUCCUUGUAUAUAUGUGUGAGAAAGAACCUGAGCUGGAAUUAAAACAGAGGCACUCCCUCUGAAGAGGAAGGAGAAACUGAGAGAGUGAGGCAGUUCCUGCUGAACCUUUGUUAGCUCUUGUGGUGAAGGGAGUUUUCGCCAUCAGGGGCAGCCUUGGGAGAGGAUGCUGCUAUAGAAAAAGCUCAUGAAACUCAAAGGCACAGAGACAAGCUCAUGGCUGCAUUAUGAAGCUUGCAUAGUCCCAGGAGAGCGGAUAGCCCUCUUAGCAGAUUCAAAUUCCACUCUCUCUAGAAACAUGAAGUAGCAGCCUACUGUGUACAAGAAAGCCAUCAGCAAUGAGGGACCUGCAGCCAAGUUCGUUACGGACCAGCUUGCUGAGUUGUCUUGAAAAGCGGGCUUACAGGUGUUCUAAGCCCAUGUUUUAUCCUGAAGUUCCCCUCGACAAGAAAAACGAAUUCAUAGCACAAAGUACACCAGUUUAAGACUAGCCUUAGAAUUCUUUUUUGCAUUAAUCCAAACAGAAGAGAUUUGUUUUACCAUUCCUUCAAUCGUUCCCACAGAGAGAAGUCAGAAAUCUGACUGAACUCCAUUUUGAUUUAUCUAUGCCUUUUAAAAGCGUAUGUCAAGCCUCUGAGCCCAAGCCGGCCUGUAUACAUCCAGAUAGCCUGAAGCAACUGAAGAAUCACAAAAGAAGUGAAAAUGGCCGGUUCCUGACUUAACUGAUGACAUUACCUUGUGAAAUUCCUUCUCCUGGCCCAGGAGCUCCCCACCAAGCACCUUGUGACCCCCGCCCUGCCCUCAAGAGAACAACCCCCUUUGACUGUAAUUUUCCACUACCCACACAAAUCCUAUAAAACUGCCUCACCCCUAGUUCCCUUUGCUGACUCUUUUUUCAGAUUCAGCCCACCUGCACCCAGGUGAUUAAAAAGCUUUAUUGCUCACACAAAGCCUGUUGGUGGUCUCUUCACAUGGACACGCAUGACAUUUAGGUGCCGAAGAUCCAGGACAGGGGGACUCCUUUGGGAGACCUGUCCCUUGUCCUUGCACUCACUCUGUGAGGAGAUCCACCUACUGUCAGGCCUCUGAGCCCAAGCUAAGCCAUCAUAUCCCCCUGUGACCUGCACUUAUACAUCCAGAUGGCCUGAAGCAACUGAAGAUCCACAAAAGAAGUGAAAAUAGCCAGGUCCUGCCUUAGCUAAUGACAUUCCACCAUUGUGAUUUGUUCCUGCCCCACCCUAACUGAUCAAUUGACUUUGUGACAAUACACCCUCCCCGCCCUUGUGAUAAUGUACUUUGUGAUAUUCCCCCAUCCUUGUGAAUGUGCUUUGUACAAUACACCCUGCCCACCCUUAAGAAGGUACUUUGUAAUAUUCUCCCCUGCCCUUAAGGUACUUUGUAAUAUUCUCCCCACCCUUAAGAAUGUACUUUGUAAGAUCUACCCCCUGAUCGCAAAAAAAUUGCUCCUAACCCCACCGCCUAUCUCAAA
rnacentral:lncRNA from 10 species